ACACACACCCACGCAGAGAAAGAUGCAGUGUCAGUGUCAUGUCUGUUGGCAAGAAGCCGGAGUGAGAGCUGAGAGAGAGAGCGCGCCCUGAGCCAGGCAGAACAGCAGGGCAGCUGGUGCCAGUGAAUUACAUGUGUGUGGCUGUAAAUAAAGAAAUGUGUGAACCUGAGAAGCUGUAUCUGUGCUGAGAGAAACUCGCCGGUAACAGUUUUUUGCUGCUCUACCAUAGCAAGAUGCUCGCUGGGCUAUUCGCGUAUGUUUGUGUGUAAGUGAGCUCGGAGAUUUAUGAACCAAACUUAGUGUUCAAAGCAGUGGAAGGAUCAAACAAUGUAAAGCAUCUUAAAGCAACACUUGAAGACGCCAUCCUCAUUCAACAGCCAGCUAAAGAGAGGAUUUCUCAUGAAAGAAAACUGAAUCAUCUCUAAGGGCUCUCUCAGCCCUUGAAGAAUGAUUUCCACUGACUUAGACAUGUCAGCGCUGGAGACCACCUAGUCUCCUACGUAUGUGCCCGAGGCUGCAGAGGGAAACAGAGAGUCAGCAGCUGAACAACAAAAGGCCUGGUGAAGGGUCCGGUGGAGCAGUGAUGGGAGCAGAGAGGUGGCUCGCAGCAGUACCAGGGGAAAAAAUUAAUUAAUCCGGGCUGGGAAAGUGAAAUAUGGGAGCUGCUGGAAUAACAUGUUUCAGAUGCCUGUUUGUAAUGACAGGUGGGCAAGUCUAUGUAGGCGUUUUAUGCCCCAGACAUCAGAAAAAGAAAGAGCGAGUCGCAGAGAGUGACAUGAAAAGAAAAAGAGGGAAAGAGAGACAGCCUGAGAGGUGAGGACAUGGCACCGGGUGACACAUGCUGCAGUCUAACCUUCAUAUUUGCUCCUGAAAUAAGAGAAGAAAAGGAAGCUGAAGAAAAACAAAGUUAGCACAAAGAAAAACAUUAAGAAGAGAGCCUAACUUGACCUUUGAGGAUUUACAUAUAGCAACUGUACUAGUGGAUCUCAAAAAGUGUAUUUCUUUUUAUGAUUUAAUUUAAAAAGAAAGGCUUUCACAUGUUUUAUAUUCAUUGUUUGUAAAGUGAAAUAUUUAAAGGCUCAUUUCAUUUUAUUCUUCAUGAUUAUGGGUCAUAGCGCAUGAAAAUUCAAUAUGUAGGAUGCGAAAUUAUUAGAAUAUUUCCAAAAAUCAGCCAAAAAAUGAUUUACAAUACAGCAAGUUUGAAAACCACAUUCAUUUAUACACUUGGUAUUUUGUUGGGCCUCAUUUACUAUGAAUUACAAGGUAAUCAGCAUAUUUUUAGAAAAUAUCAUUUUAGUGCAGCAUUUUCACCGUGUCCACAAGAGUUCGUAAUCUGCCUCCACAUCCCAAAAUCCAGCUAUUCUAUGGAACCUUUGCAUGAGCAACUUGUACUGAGGUUUCCUAUGUCUGAAUUUACUGCACAUUGAAAAGAUCUACCAAUAUAAAGUGAAUAGGACUCAAUUCCAGUUCAAAUAAAGUUUCAGUAAAGACCUUUCCACUGAGCUUUAACCUAGAUGUUACAAAGGUAAAGACAGAUUCUAUCAUCAGCCACUGAUUCCUGGUUGUUUUUGGUUAUAUGGAGAAAAAAAAAAGUUUUGUUCUGUUUUCUGUAAAGAUGAUCCCACAUUGCUUCAGUAAUGGAGAGGCCUGGGGAGGCCAGUCCAUGACUGAUAGGUACAAGGACUGGACUGAAAAUGAGGGAAAAAGCAGCCAACAUAAAAUAUAUAAAAUUGAGGGGCGGCUAAAGACUUCUGCACAGUGCUGUAGCUAUAACCCUCCAAUAAACAAGCACAGCGUUUCAGUCAUUCAUGCAUACUGUCCUCUCUCUUUCAUUCCCACACGAUCUUUUACAGAUUCUGCAUCUAAAGCUGAAGACACUGAUGCUAAAAUUAUCUUGCUCAUUUUUUUUUUAACCCAGCGAGCCUUUUUGUCAGCCCCAAACUGAUGCUGCGUGGGCAGCAACUGUAAUGUACAGCUGAUGGCUUGCAUUUCUCUUUCAGAUUUCAAGAGCCCACAUCAAAAUGAGCGAGUUUCUGAGACUAUCACAGAAACCAGAGAGCAAAGUAUAUGGCUGUGAGCACAGACAGCAAGUAAUAUGGGCUUUUGCUCCGGACUGAACUUUGGCUUGCUAAAUAAAGACUAAAAAAAAAAAC